rnacentral:rRNA from 1 species
GGUUGAUAGGUCAGAGGUGUAAGUGUGGCAACAUAUUUAGCUGACUGAUACUAAUAGGUCGAGGGCUUGACCAAUAA